GCUAGCGGCAGGCCUAACACAUGCAAGUCGAACGGUAACAUAGAGAAGCUUGCUUUUCUGAUGACGAGUGGCGCACGGGUGCGUAACGCGUAUAGAACCUACCCUUUACAGGGGGAUAGCCCGGAGAAAUUCGGAUUAAUACCCCAUAGUACUAUUUAGAGGCAUCUUUAGAUGGUUAAAGUUUUUACGGUAAAGGAUGGCUAUGCGUCCUAUUAGUUCGUAGGUGAGGUAACGGCUCACCUAGACUUCGAUAGGUAGGGGCCCUGAGAGGGGGAUCCCCCACACUGGUACUGAGACACGGACCAGACUCCUACGGGAGGCAGCAGUGAGGAAUAUUGGACAAUGGUCGUAAGACUGAUCCAGCCAUGCCGCGUGCAGGAAGACUGCCCUAUGGGUUGUAAACUGCUUUUUUACGGGAAGAAUAAUACCCACGUGUGGGUAGAUGACGGUACCGUACGAAUAAGGACCGGCUAACUCCGUGCCAGCAGCCGCGGUAAUACGGAGGGUCCGAGCGUUAUCCGGAAUUAUUGGGUUUAAAGGGUCCGCAGGCGGGCCAGUAAGUCAGG
rnacentral:rRNA from 1 species